AUGUCCUCGUCUCAAUCUCUCAUCCUCCUCCUGACCUCCCCUCUCCCCCCGCCUCCUCGUGUCGUCGCCGCCAUCCCACCAUCCUCGCGCCCCACCACCGCUAGCCGCUUCCGCCACCUCCCGCGCCUCACCGCCAAUCUCUGCCUUCCGCCAUCCGCGACCUCCGCUUCCGGCGGAUUCGGAGAUGGCAAUUUCCCCGGUGGGGAUGGGGGUGGCGGAGGAGGAGGGGGUUGGUGGCAAGGCGGGAGAGGAGACCCUCCCGACAAGCCGGGAGACGGGUGGCGACGGUGGCUUCAGUCCCUCCACCCCGAGCUCUUCCUCCUGUUCUUGCUCCUCCAGUCGGACGCCUUCGCUUCCAUCCCAUCCGCCCUCGCCGAUGCCCUAGGAGCAACCGGCGGCGACGGCGGUAGCGUUUGGGAGAUGAGGGGCAGUGCGCGUACGCUGCUCGUGCCCAACCCGAACGGAACCUCAUACCUCGUUGCGGGAGACGAUAAGCGGAAGCAAGAAGAGGGGAUGGAAAAGACGGGGGCUGGCCCUGCUAAUUUGGCCGCACUGCGGAGGCAACUCGAACGGUCAUGGCGGCGGUGCACUGAUGUUGCUCUUCAGUUGCUGCUGCCUGAUGGAUACCCGCACAGCGUGAGCAGCGACUAUCUGCACUACUCGCUGUGGCGGGGCGUGCAAGGUGUUGCUAGCCAGAUCAGCGGCGUGCUCUCUACGCAGGCGUUGCUGUACGCAGUUGGUUUGGGUAAAGGAGCGAUCCCGACGGCCGCCGCAGUGAAUUGGGUGCUGAAAGAUGGGCUUGGUUACUUGAGCAAGAUACUCUUGUCGAAAUUUGGGCGACAUUUUGAUGUGAACCCGAAGGGAUGGCGGCUGUUUGCAGAUCUUCUGGAGAACACAGCUUAUGGGCUGGAGAUUUUGACUCCGGUAUUUCCUCACCUGUUUGUUCCCAUUGGUGCAGCCGCUGGAGCUGGCCGAUCGGCAGCUGCUCUAAUACAGGCUGCCACAAGAAGUUGUUUCUUUGCUGGCUUUGCUGUCCAGAGAAACUUUGCUGAGGUCAUUGCAAAGGGUGAAGCGCAGGGAAUGGUUAGCAAGUUUGUUGGCAUAAUGCUUGGCAUAGCGUUAGCUAACCAAAUUGGCUCAUCAGUACCACUGGCUCUUAUUUCAUUUGCUGGUGUUACUGUAGUUCACAUGUAUUGCAACCUUAAGUCUUAUCAAUCAAUUCAGCUGAGGACGCUGAAUCCUUACCGUGCAAGUUUGAUAUUUAGUGAAUAUUUAUUAAGUGGACAAGUUCCUUCAGUCAAAGAGGUUAACGAUGAGGAGCCACUUUUUCCGAAUUUAUCCAUGGGUACUCAAGUUAAACAAAGUGAGAUUUUGUCAGCAGAAGCAAAAGAUGCUGCAGAUACAAUCUAUCGACGGUUACAAUUGGGUUCUAAGCUUAGUGAAAUAAUUGAGAACAAGGAAGAUGCAUAUGCACUGUUUGAUUUGUACAAAAAUGAGCAAUACCUUCUUACUGAUUACAAGGGGAAAUUUUGUGUUGUUCUUAAAGAGGGAUCUUCUCCAGAAGACAUGCUCAAAUCUGUAUUCCAUGUUAACUAUCUGUACUGGUUAGAGAAAUAUAUGGGUUUCAAACCAUUCAAUGUUGCCUCCGAGUGUAGACCAGGUGGAAGGCUUGAAGCAUCACUGGAUUAUGUUCAGAGGGAGUUUAUACAUGUCAAGCAUGAUGGUUCAAAUGGUGGCUGGGUGAUGGAUGGUCUGAUUGCUAGACCCUUGCCUGUAAGAAUACGUGUUGGCGAUGUUCCUUGA
rnacentral:rRNA from 1 species